AGCUCCAAUAGCGUAUAUUAAAGUUGUUGCAGUUAAAAAGCUCGUAGUUGGAUCUAAGGAUGCAGGAGAACACGGUCCGUCGGAAGACCCGAUCGAGCACCGGUUCUCCCAUCCUCUCCUUCCGGCCUCCCGUCUCUACCAUUAACUUGGUGGGGAUGAAGUGGGCACUUGUCUCUUCGGAGGCUUGUGCUCGGGGACCCGGAUCUUUUACUUUGAAAAAAUUAGAGUGUUCAAAGCAGGCGAAUUACUACCGCCAUCGAAUACUGCAGCAUGGGAUAAUAGAAUAGGACCGUGUUUCCGUUCUGUCGGUUCGGGAAACAAGGUAAUGAUUAAUAGGGACAGUCGGGGGCAUUAGUAUUUAAUUGUCAGAGGUGAAAUUCUUGGAUUUAUGAAAGACUAA
rnacentral:rRNA from 1 species